CCUACGGGCGGCAGCAGUGAGGAAUAUUGGUCAAUGGACGAGAGUCUGAACCAGCCAAGUAGCGUGAAGGAGGACUGUCCAGUGUGUUGUAAACUUCUUUUAUCAGGGAAUAAAACGAGGCACGUGUGCCCGUUUGCAUGUACUUGAUGAAUAAGCAUCGGCUAACUCCGUGCCAGCAGCCGCGGUAAUACGGAGGAUCCGAGCGUUAUCCGGAUUUAUUGGGUUUAAAGGGUGCGCAGAUGGGUUGUUAAGUCAGGGGUGAAAGUUCGGGGCUCAACCGUAACCUUGCAGUUGAAACUGGCAGUCUUGAGUUCGAGUGAGGUAGGCGGAAUGCGUGGUGUAGCGGUGAAAUGCAUAGAUAUCGCGAAGAACCCCGAUUGCGAAGGCAGCAUGCUGA
rnacentral:rRNA from 1 species